rnacentral:rRNA from 1 species
UGCCUACGGGACGCAGCAGUGGGGGAUAUUGCACAAUGGGGGGAACCCUGAUGCAGCGACGCCGCGUGGGUGAAGGAGCGUUUCGGCGCGUAAAGCCCUAUCGGCAGGGAAGAAGAUGACGGUACCUGACCAAGAAGCCCCGGCUAACUACGUGCCAGCAGCCGCGGCAAUACGUAGGGGGCAAGCGUUAUCCGGAUUUACUGGGUGUAAAGGGCGUGUAGGCGGGCAUGCAAGCCAGAAGUGAAAUCUGGGGGCUUAACCCCCAAACUGCUUUUGGAACUGCGUGUCUUGA